AAUGCAUUGCUUUGUUCUAGGAACAUCGAAAUCGUGUAUUUCAUGAUUUUCGAAAUGGCUUAUGCCGCAAUCUUGUUUGCACUGAUUUGUUUACCCGAGGUAUUGAUAUACAAGCUGUGAAUGUGGUAAUAAACUUUGACUUCCCAAAGCUGGCAGAGACCUAUCUCCAUCGUAUUGGAAGAUCAGGUCGCUUUGGUCAUCUUGGCUUAGCCAUCAACUUGAUCACAUAUGAUGAUCGCUUCAACCUGAAAAGUAUUGAGGAGCAGCUGGGAACAGAAAUUAAGCCUAUUCCAAGCAACAUUGACAAGAGCCUGUAUGUGGCAGAAUACCACAGCGAGCCUGUAGAAGAUGAGAAACCCUAACAAGCAUGCUUUGACAAACUGCAGAAGGCUCCUUUGGAUCUGUGACACAUCGUUUUGGGGGGAUGCUCUUCUCUUUGUGGGUUUUUCAUCUUCUUUUAUUUUGGAACUAUGAAGACUUAAAAGCUCAGACAUUUUUUGUGUUUUUAACUGGUGAAGAGAAAAAAGCUGAAAAGAAGGAAUUUACCUUUUUUGUUCCACUUGUUUGCACUGUGUGCUGACUGAACAUUAGUUGCACUAACUGCUGGUCUUUAAAAAAUGUUUUCUGGGGAAGGGGGGACAAGGAAGGAGGAAAAAGAUGAGAAGGGAGAAACCCUAAAAAGAGAAGAAUCUUGAUGAACACACAAGCUUGUCUGCGAUUUCAGAAUUCCCCAACAGCUGACUCCGGAGUGCAUUUCAACUUCUCCCUGGUUACUCAUCGUUUCUUAAGCCUGAAGAGCUUAUUACUUAUUUGUGCGAAGUGCCUUAUGCUAUGAGACCAUUCAGAAUAUCAUCUUUUAGACAACAGCCCAAGGAAUCAACGAUAGUAAUCCUCUCUUUCCUUUUUCUUUUCUUUCUUUUUAAAAUUUUUGUCUUCAUUUUGGUUUCAAGUUGGAGCCUCUCUCUUCCCUUUCUACCCAGUACUCAAGCCCAGGGCUGGAAGAUGAAACGUAUUAGUAAUGUUAAACACCAUUUUCUUUUUCUUUAUGUGGAGGAGUUGAUAAUGCAACUGCAGUUCAUCCGCACUGUAAAUAUAUGUAUUUAAAAGAAAAAAACAAUCCCAAGUAAAAAUUUCUUCUGGGCUGAGUAGAUUACAUCAUCGCUCCCAAAGGAAAGAGCAGUCUAUCGUUGCAGGAGCCAUAUGACAAGCCUUUGUGCUCUGUGGCAGAACACUAAAGACUGGCUUACAUACGCCUCCAUUAGCAGUUAUGGCACUUGAUGGAUAGACAUGUCAGAGCCUUGACCCUCUUUCCUCUGUGGCAAAGCGUGACCCAUAGAAAAUUGGGUGUGUAUACUUGUAUAAACUUUGUAAAUAAGUUUUUUCU